rnacentral:rRNA from 1 species
UACGUAGGGUGCAAGCGUUGUCCGGAAUUAUUGGGCGUAAAGAGCUCGUAGGCGGUUUGUCGCGUCUGCUGUGAAAACCUAAGGCUCAACCUUGGGCUUGCAGUGGGUACGGGCAGACUAGAGUGCGGUAGGGGUGACUGGAAUUCCUGGUGUAGCGGUGGAAUGCGCAGAUAUCAGGAGGAACACCGAUGGCGAAGGCAGGUCACUGGGCCGCAACUGACGCUGGAGGAGCGAAAGCAUGGGGAGCGAACAGG